rnacentral:rRNA from 1 species
AUGGCUCAGGACGAACGCUGGCGGCGUGCUUAACACAUGCAAGUCGAACGGUGAAGCCCUUCGGGGUGGAUCAGUGGCGAACGGGUGAGUAACACGUGAGCAACCUGCCCUUCACUCUGGGAUAACUCCGGGAAACCGGUGCUAAUACCGGAUACGAGCAUCGGCCUCAUGGUCUGGUGCUGGAAAGAUUUUUUGGUGGAGGAUGGGCUCGCGGCCUAUCAGCUUGUUGGUGAGGUAAUGGCUCACCAAGGCGACGACGGGUAGCCGGCCUGAGAGGGCGACCGGCCACACUGGGACUGAGACACGGCCCAGACUCCUACGGGAGGCAGCAGUAGGGAAUUUUCCGCAAUGGGCGAAAGCCUGACGGAGCAACGCCGCGUGAGCGAGGACGGCCUUCGGGUUGUAAAGCUCUUUCGGCCCUGACGAAGCGAGAGUGACGGUAGGGGCAGAAGAAGCACCGGCCAACUACGUGCCAGCAGCCGCGGUA